UAACCUGAAAACUUAAUCGAUUGGUCACUAGCUGCGCGGUGACCAAUCGAUUAAGUUUUCAGCUUA
rnacentral:pre_miRNA from 1 species